rnacentral:tRNA from 1 species
GGCGCAAUCGGUAGCGCGUAUGACUCUUAAUCAUAAGGUUAGGGGUUCGAGCCCCCUACA